rnacentral:lncRNA from 1 species
UCCUUUCUCUGAAGAUUUCCUUGUUAUGUCUGCACGGGUUGGAUACCAAAGGGUCUAUGAUCUCACUGGUCAUAUUGUGAAAGGUCCUCUGGUCACAGUGGCCCACAGAAUAUUCUCGGUAUAUAAUUACCAAGUUUUUUAGCAUAAGCCAAACUUACAAAAUCGUGUUCAUUGUUCUGGAGUACUUUAGGAUCAUUUACAGCAAUAGUAAAAGAGAGAACUUUCUAAUUAGAAAACAUAAAUUUGUUUAUGGAAAUUCAACUUUAUUCUCUACAUUUGCUAAUUUCAGGAUUGUACGUGGGCAACUGAGAAGAAAAUGGGGGUGUAAUUACAAAGACACUUCUUGAAUAUAGUACCAUCAUCUUGAGGUGUUGACAUUCUGUAGGCUCAGCAGGUGUUCAAAGACGACACAAUGUUUCAUUAAGUGCUUUGGUGGAAUAAAGUCUGGUUUUCUAGGAAACAGCCCCUGAGAUGAUGUGGUUUACCUAACGUAG